GCUUCAUUUUCUUUUUUAUUUUUUGAUAUGUUUUUAUUAUCUUUGCUCAGAACAUUGAUUCAAUGAUUUUUUGUGAUUCUGCUAGAACAUUGAUUUUUUUUGGAUUCUGUUAGUGCUACUCAAAAUGAAAUUUAAAUCAUCGAUUAGCUCUGCUCCUGCACUGUAUUAUACUAUUUUCUUGUUUGGAAUUGAAUCAUUGAAUAUUUAGUUAAAUUAGCUCUGUUAAUCUUUGUUAAAUUUAGACUAAUUUAGUUGUUAACCUUGCUUUAGUUCUCAAGUUGCUUGCUGCUUCAAUUUAAAGGGAUUGUGAAUUUUGGUUUAAGCUAUGAUUGAAGUUUCCUUCGUUUGGGUGUUCUUAUAUAUUUCUUUCUUUGUUGCUUUGUUUUAAAUGUUCCUAUAGGUGUUGUGUUGUUGCUGUGUUUUAAAUGUUCCUUUGACUCUUUGUUGUGUUGUUGCUGUGUUAUAUUUCUUUUUUUUGAAUAUUUGUAUUGAUUUGCUGUCCGAGGACCUGCACACCAACUUGUAUUCUUGCAAUGAAGCUUUCCAUGUUAAAACUUUUUUGCAUACAAAAUGAAUGUGGUUUGAUAAUUUCUAAUUGAUAUAACUUAUUGUGGGAUGAGCUAGAGAUUACUUUGAAGGUGUUGGGAAGGAAAUGAGGUUAUUGAGCAAUUGGAGAGUUGAUAGUGCUAGCCUUUUUUUUUUGCUAUUAAUCAUUGUGCUGAACUUGUUAAAAUUAUUUCAAUAAAAUUUAGCAUUGAUUGAUCCUGGUUUAACUGUCUAAUUUUGAGAAUUUGUUGCAUAGCGUAUAGCUUCACUAUUUUCUUUCUAACUUCGAUGAUUAGUUUGCUUUCGAUUCUUUUCUUGUUGCUGUUUGCAUAUGAUUUCUUAUAACUGUAAGAUAAUUUUGGGUACUUUAAGUUAACAUCUAUUUAUUUGUUUUAGAGUUGGUCCAAUGGAGGAUAGCCAGGAAAUUGAGGAGCAUGUGCAGGAAGAAGUGAUUUCAGAUAAUGGAACUGAAAAGAAGCAUGAAACUCGUGAUGAGAUGCUCUCGCAGUACAGUUUGAUCAUAGUAUGAGGGAUAAGAUUAGUGAAACUGAAGGUGGAAUUGAAAUGUUAUGUAAUAUUGUAAUCAUAAUUUGAUUAAUCUAGCUUUUUAAUUACAAAUAAUAUUUGUUAUGAUUGUUUCUUGUUUUAUAGAAGUUGCAUCUACUAUGUGAUCAACUAUUGUAAUCAUUUUUUGAUUAAUCUAGCUUUUUAAUUAUAAUUUUGUAUCA